UACGUAGGGUGCGAGCGUUGUCCGGAAUUAUUGGGCGUAAAGAGCUCGUAGGCGGUGUGUCGCGUCGGCCGUGAAAACCUGGGGCUUAACUCUGGGCGUGCGGUCGAUACGGGCAUCACUGGAGUUCGGCAGGGGAGACUGGAAUUCCUGGUGUAGCGGUGAAAUGCGCAGAUAUCAGGAGGAACACCGGUGGCGAAGGCGGUUCUCUGGGCAUGUCCUGACGCUGAGGCGCGAAAGCGUGGGGAGCAAACAGG
rnacentral:rRNA from 1 species